rnacentral:rRNA from 1 species
UCAAACGGUAACAGGGGCAGGGAAACGCCCAAACCCUUUCCGAACUUGGAAGCUAAGCCUGCCUACGAUAUGUGUGUACUGUCUCAGGAUGGGAAAGCAUAUUGCUGUUUGGC